GCUACAUGGGGUGUAAAAUGCUCUUCUCGGUGCUCUUUGGAUGUAAGGGAUAAUGCUAAUCAGUUUAUAAGAAAAAUCCAAGGCACUCGAAUGUUGUAAAUAUAGUUAAAAAGCCUUUAUUUUCACAUGGCUUUAUGUUUUAAAAACAGGUGACAAAUACACCUACGCGUUGCGGCUAACAAGCCUUCGUCAGGGUGUAACAAACACAUGCACACACAAGUUCAUUUGAACGGCAGUCAAUUAGUCCAAUAGCGAUCACCUGGUCGCGAUAUGUAAGGGAGCCUAAAGAGAAAAAGCUCAAUGUAACCCACACACCAAAGACACAGCCAAUACAUUACUCAUCAAAACACCAUACAGAGAGAGAGAGGAAAAAAAAAUCAAAAUCAAAACUAUAUAAAUUCCACAGUUCAAUAAUGUCCAACUCAAAAUACAAAGUAUUAUAAUUCAACACUUAUCACAAAAAGGGUACAAAGUCCAAUUCUCCAUUUAAACCUGGAAAUGUUGUUGCUUUCAACGUAUAUAUCCAAAAGGACUCUCUUUGUAAAAGCCUUUUAACCCUAUCUCCUCCUCUUGUCAUUCUAGGAACAUGUUCUAUACCAAUAAUCUUUAAUGUGCUCGGACUACCAUGAUUUGCAUUUUUAUAAUGUUGAGCCAUUGGGUAAAGCGGAUUACAAACUCUAAUUGCAUUUUUAUGUUCCGAUAAUCUGAUCUUUAAUUUCCUCGUAGUCAUCCCUAUGUAGAAGCAACCACACGGGCAUUCCAACCUAUACACCACAAACGAGGUGCCCUUCGGAACACAACGGAAGGAGACUCAGGCAUAACUUCCCGAAGAUGAGGAUCACUCAGCACAAUUUCCCAAUUACGUUUUAUGAUGUUCUUAAUUCUGUUCGCCUCUGUGCUAUAUUGUGUCACGAAAUAAACAGAAUUAUCUGAA